rnacentral:lncRNA from 1 species
CUGCCGCAAGGCCACCUCGUCUCUGGCAUCAAGGGACUCGACGCUUAGGGCUUCCACGGGCUUCUUCCCUUUGAGAGUCGCUAGGAAACAUUGCCGUGCGGUCGGUUGGUCACCUCGGACCUCUCCGAUCCCAGCCGCCGUGGGGAAACGCAUGAGCAAGUGGUACGUAGAGACCACCGCACGAAGGGCGUUCAGUCCAGGUCGUCCGAGGAUAGCGUUGUAGGCCGAGGGAACACGGACAACCAAGAAUCCGAGUCGCACCGUGGCUUCUGCGGGUGCAACGCCCGCAGUCACAGGCAGCUCAACGACUCCUUCGGCCGGGACAGCGUCACCAGUGAAUCC